rnacentral:lncRNA from 1 species
UAUGCCAAAUUCUGACUGUAGUAGCGUGGCGAAGAGAGUUCCAGAUAUUUCGGAUGAGAGAAUGACUAUCGGACUGCCUAGCAACCAUGUGGAGCCAAGCAAUGACAGCAGCAGAGUCACCCUUAAGAAAGAUCCGCUCUGCAUGAAGCUGCUGUCCGGCAAAAAUGAUCUUUAUCCAAAUAGCAUGAAGCUCCGCAUCGGAGAUAGAAAGUAUCAUCAAAGACUUUGUACUGGUCAAAGUC